UGUUGAUCUUAAUAUAUGUUGUAGCACUAGCAAAAAUUGUCAUUUUGGCAAUGAGAUAUGGCUUAUCGGAAAAAAGGUUAAUUGUGACAAAAAUGCUUAGGCUUAGGGAAGCAAUACUUCACUGGACUUUCCUGAUUGGCUUUCUGCCAAGUUUUACCUCAUUCUUCUGUAAAUUUUUUUGUUUCCACCACCCAUAAACUCCUUUCAGAGAGUGAUUCUGUAAUGAAGGAUAAAUCUAGGAUGACAUCCUAAAGGAAAAGGUUGAAUGGAAUUAAUGAGAAGGAAAGAACUGUUGAUGCGGCUAAAGAAGGUGGCAAUUCCAAAAAUUUCUUUAGUUCUUAGUUUUGAGAAAUAUGGACAGCAACUUAAUUUCUCUGUAAUAUAUAUUAUUUCUUUGACCACUAAAAUGUGCAGCACUCUAGUGAAAA
rnacentral:misc_RNA from 1 species